GAUCCCGGGGUACCCGAAUGGGAGAACCCGACGGCAGAGGUGCCGUCAUCCCCCCUCCGAACACAUAGGAGGGGGGAGGGCAACCCGGGGAACUGAAACAUCUAAGUACCCGGAGGAAGAGAAAUCAAUGGCGAGAUCCCCCGAGUAGCGGCGAGCGAAAGGGGGCCUAGGGCAAACCGGUGAGCGCACGCGGGCGGCAGCCUUCGCGCCACCGGGGUUGCGGGGCGGAGCGUCGGGGUCCUGCCGGGCCCCGCGGCGCCCCGGCGAGGCGGGCGGAACGGCCUGGGACGGCCGGCCGCAGAGGGUUACAGCCCCGUACGCGAAGCCUCGACCGGGAGCCGGACUCCCACCCCGAGUAGGGCCGGGCACGGGGUACCCGGUCCGAAGCUGGGUGGACCACCAUCCAACCCUGAACACUCCCCUGCGACCGAUAGCGCACAAGUACCGUGAGGGAAAGGUGAAAAGCACCCCGGGAGGGGAGUGAAACAGCACCUGAAACCGUGCGCCCGCGAGCAGUCGGAGCAGCG
rnacentral:rRNA from 1 species